rnacentral:rRNA from 1 species
UGUUUCGGCUAGGGGGCCAUCCCGGCUUACCAACCCGAUGCAAACUGCGAAUACCGGAGAAUGUUAUCACGGGAGACACACGGCGGGUGCUAACGUCCGUCGUGAAGAGGGAAACAACCCAGACCGCCAGCUAAGGUCCCAAAGUCAUGGUUAAGUGGGAAACGAUGUGGGAAGGCCCAGACAGCCAGGAUGUUGGCUUAGAAGCAGCCAUCAUUUAAAGAAAGCGUAAUAGCUCACUGGUCGAGUCGGCCUGCGCGGAAGAUGUAACGGGGCUAAACCAUGCACCGAAGCUGCGGCAGCGACACUAUGUGUUGUUGGGUAGGGGAGCGUUCUGUAAGCCUGUGAAGGUGGCCUGUGAGGGUUGCUGGAGGUAUCAGAAGUGCGAAUGCUGACAUAAGUAACGAUAAAGCGGGUGAAAAGCCCGCUCGCCGGAAGACCAAGGGUUCCUGUCCAACGUUAAUCGGGGCAGGGUGAGUCGACCCCUAAGGCGAGGCCGAAAGGCGUAGUCGAUGGGAAACGGGUUAAUAUUCCCGUACUUGGUGUUACUGCGAAGGGGGGACGGAGAAGGCUAUGUUGGCCGGGCGACGGUUGUCCCGGUUUAAGCGUGUAGGUG